rnacentral:rRNA from 1 species
GCAUAACGCGAAGAACCUUACCCACCUUUGACAUGUACGGAAUCCUUUAGAGAUAGAGGAGUGCUCGAAAGAGAGCCGUAACACAGGUGCUGCAUGGCUGUCGUCAGCUCGUGUCGUGAGAUGUUGGGUUAAGUCCCGCAACGAGCGCAACCCUUGCCAUUAGUUGCUACAUUUAGUUGAGCACUCUAAUGGGACUGCCGGUGACAAACCGGAGGAAGGUGGGGAUGACGUCAAGUCCUCAUGGCCCCUAUAGGUGGGGCUACACACGUCAUACAAUGGCUGGUACAAAGGGUUGCCAACCCGCGAGGGGGAGCUAAUCCCAUAAAGCCAGUCGUAGCCCGGAUCGCAGUCUGCAACUCGACUGCGUGAAGUCGGAAUCGCUAGUAAUCGUGGAUCAGAAUGUCACGGUGAAUACGUUCCCGGGUCUUGUACACACCG